GUGGUGUGUACCAAAGGAGCCUGGAGGCAGUAUUGGGUGGGUCAUAGUUUCCUGUAGAGACGAUGGGUAUAUAGAGCUCAGCUGGGACCUGCAGCAAGCUGCCCAGGCUCCAGAAAAACCCAUCUUUCCCCAUGGAUCAGUCCCUGCUACUCGUGUGACCAAGGGCUUGGAACCAAGGGCCUGUGACUUUGAGCGCUCCGUGACUCUCCCAUUUUCUUCCCAACAGGUAGGUGAGAGCCCUGAGUAUCUGAGCAAGGCAGCAUGGCAACCUGAUGUGCUGCUGCAUGGCACAGAGGCUGUGUGCGGUGCUCCGCUGAGAGCUGAGGAUAGCCCUGGUUCUGAAGCCAGACUGGGAGAGGCCAGGGAUCUUGCUGGGAUCUUGGGAUCUGCUUGGGGCAUGCCAGGAUCCAGACCUAACAGUGGAGACAGCGGUCAAGCUGAGCCAGCAGGAGGACCCGGGGGACGAGGGCUGCUCUGUGCCAGAAGCCAGUACAGCACCGUGGAUGUCCCAGAGCAGGGAACGGGCCAGGUUGCACAGUGGUGGAAAGGCUGGCAAACCUGAGGUCCAGGAAAAGCAGGGAACAGGCUUGUUACUUCAGGAAACACAGAGGGAGACUCAAAGGAGCUCAGAGCGAAUGUUCCAGUGUGAGGAGGAGGAGGAAGUGAGAUGCGCUCCUGAAAGACUGGAUGGGUCGAGGCAAGAGGAGGAGCUGGUGCCAGGCUAUUUCCAGAAAGAUAGGAAAUGACUUGAGGAUAGACAGCUCCAUUGUGAAACCUCCACCCAGUGCACAAAGGCUGAAGAGCAGAUGGUAGCCAAAGCUGAUCCAGCAACCGAUCCCUGCAUCAUCUGCUCAGUACUACCCUGCUAAGCUGGCCAGUGCUCCUCUCGGGACAGCUCCCUCACAGCCAUUCCCCAUGAAAUUCCUUCACAGAGACUGAAGAAAUAGGAGAGCUGGGGCCCCAGCAAGAUGCACUUGAUGAUUGUAAAAUAGUCUCUCCAUUGCCAUUUUUUUUGUAAAUAUGUUGCUGUGGUCUAGUAUUGAAGCUGGCCUGCAUCUCUGUAUAAUAAAGUAGA